CGUAGGGUGCAAGCAUUAUCCGGAAUUAUUGGGCGUAAAGAGUUUGUAGGCGGCGAAUUAAGUAGGAGGUGAAAUCUUCGGGCCCAACCCGAAACCCGUCUCCUAAACUGGUUUGCUAGAGGUAUGUAGAGGUAAGUGGAAUUUCCGGUGUAGGGGUAAAAUCCGUUGAGAUCGGAAGGAACGCCAAAAGCGAAGGCAGCUUACUGGACAUACCUGACGCUGAGAAACGAAAGCGUGGGGAGCAAACAGGAUUAGAUACCCUGGUAGUCCACGCCGUAAACGAUGAACACUCGGUGUUGAUGGAUCGAUCCCAUCAGUGCCUUAGCUAACGCGUUAAGUGUUCCGCCUGGGGAGUACGGUCGCAAGAUUA
rnacentral:rRNA from 1 species